AGAGAGAGACAUGCGCGCAUAUCAAUAAGCGGAGGAAAAGAAACUAACAAGGAUUCCCUUAGUAACGGCGAGUGAAGCGGGAAGAGCUCAAAUUUGAAAUCUUCAAGGUUUUACCUUGACGAAUUGUAGUUUAAAGAAGUGUUUUCUGUUGAAGUUUUGGUAAAAGUUCUUUGGAAUAGGACAUCAUAGAGGGUGAGAAUCCCGUAUUUGACCAUUAUUUUCAGCUUUGUGAUACACUUUCAAAGAGUCGGAUUGUUUGGGAAUGCAGUCCAAAAUGGGUGGUAAAUUUCAUCUAAAGCUAAAUAUUGGCGAGAGACCGAUAGCGAACAAGUACCGUGAGGGAAAGAUGAAAAGAACUUUGAAAAGAGAGUUAAACAGUACGUGAAAUUGUCAAAAGGGAAGCGUUUGACACCAGUGUCGUUUUCCUCGAAAAUCAAUUAAAAAUGGCUCGAUUUUGUAUUGUUGAGACCUUAAAAGCUCACUGUACAUUUUUCGUGUCCUUUUUUAAUGCACUUUUCGUUUAACAAGUCAACAUCAGUUUCUUUUGUUGUAAAAGGAUCAUUGGAAGGUGGCUUUCUUUUCGGAGAAAGUGUUUAUAGCCUUUGGCCUCUGCAAUCGGAGAGACUGAGGUCUGCAGCGUAGACUCUUCGGGGUUAGAUACAUUUGUGCUAAGUUAUAGCUUUUUAUAGACGACUUGUUGACUAUAAUUAGUCUUGUAGCUUACUCGCUUAUGCUAUUUUACCUACGCUUAGGAUGUUGAAGUCAUCGUAUCGCGC
rnacentral:rRNA from 1 species